AUGGUGAAGUCGUUCACGGCAUUACUAGCAUCGGUGGGCAGCGGUGGCGUCGUGGUGGGCAGCGGUGGGCGUCGCGGCGACGGUGAGUCGUUGAUGGUGUUGGAGUCGUUGACGGUGUUGGCGGCGACGCUGUGGGUUGUAGCUCCCGUUGGUGGUGGUGAAGUUACAGAGGGAGUACCCGUAUCUGAUGAUGGCAGUAAGCGGCGGGAGUAUCUCGGAAGCAGGUGGGAGUGUUUAUUCGGUUCGAUGAGUUCGGCGGAGGUACGUAGACGGAGGGUGAGUGUUGGUGGUUACGCGAAACAGAAGGCGUGUGGAUGUUGCGGUCGGUUGAGAGAAGAGGAAGAUGAGUGGUGGUGA